UUUCUUUUGCGCUUUAGCUCUUUGAGAGUGUGCAUCACGUCAGAUUUAGGAAUUUAACAGCGUAAUUAAAGAUGGUUUCUAUAAUCCUGACAAAAUUAUGGAUGGUGGACUUGUGUUAUAAAAAUUCAAUUUUGAAAACGCAAAAAGUGUUAGUUGGACUAACAAAAUGAUCCAUAAUGUAUGAAUACGGAGUCCUCGAAAUGACUUGCAGUCAUAACGGUCAUAUUUGGUCAGACAAAAAUCCACACAUUACUCGUCCAUGCUACGCGAUAUGUGGUAUAUGAAUCAUGGUGCUCCAGCCUAUUUUGCUUUUUAGACGAGGAAUGCCCACAUCGAUGGAUAGGGAGAGAAGGGCUUGUAAAAUGGCGCUAAACAAGUAUUCAAAAUCUGUAUUGGAGUUUAUCAUUUGGGAUUGAAUUACAGAUUUAACACCGCAAGGGCAAUGUUACUAGCACCUAGUAAUAAAAACUGCAGUUCCCAGUAUUUUUUAAUGCAAUUUGAAUCUUGAUUAAGGUCUUUUGAUGACUUGAAGAAGAAAUUGGUACUCUCGAGAGAAAGAGAAAGGUAAAUUCGGUUUGUACUCUAGUUCAUCAAAAUGAAUUGCAUAAAGGAAGUUCUUUGUCCUUGAUGUUUAUUGGAAAUCACCUGGAAGUACAGACUGGCAUAAAUAAGUUUGUGUUGUUUUAUAUUAUUUAUUAAAAUUUUUUUAAAACAU